UACGUAGGGUGCGAGCGUUAAUCGGAAUUACUGGGCGUAAAGCGUGCGCAGGCGGCGCGUUAAGUCAGGUGUGAAAGCCCCGAGCUUAACUUGGGAAUUGCGCUUGUGGCUGGCGUGCUGGAGUGUGGCAGAGGGAGGUGGAAUUCCACGUGUAGCAGUGAAAUGCGUAGAGAUGUGGAGGAACACCGAUGGCGAAGGCAGCCUCCUGGGCCAGCACUGACGCUCAUGCACGAAAGCGUGGGGAGCAAACAGG
rnacentral:rRNA from 1 species